UACGUAGGGUGCGAGCGUUAAUCGGAAUACUGGGCGUAAAGCGUGCGCAGGCGGUGAUGUAAGACAGGUGUGAAAUCCCCGGGCUUAACCUGGGAACUGCAUUUGUGACUGCAUCGCUGGAGUGCGGCAGAGGGGGAUGGAAUUCCGCGUGUAGCAGUGAAAUGCGUAGAUAUGCGGAGGAACACCGAUGGCGAAGGCAAUCCCCUGGGCCUGCACUGACGCUCAUGCACGAAGAACGUGGGGAGCAAACAGG
rnacentral:rRNA from 1 species